GACGAACGCUGGCGGCGUGCCUAACACAUGCAAGUCGAACGCAGUGGGGACGGGUGAGUAACACGUGGGUAACCUCCCAUCAGAGGGGAUAACACUUGGCAACAGGCGCUAAACCGCAAAUUGAUGGAUGGAGCCGCGGUGGAUUAGCUUGUUGGCGGGGUAACGGCUAACCAAGGCCACGAUGCAUAGCCGGCCUGAGAGGGUGAUCGGCCACACUGGGACUGAGACACGGCCCAGACUCCUACGGGAGGCAGCAGUGGGGAAUAUUCGGCAAUGGGCGAAAGUCUGACCGAGCAACGCCGCGUGAAUGAAGAAGGCUUUCGGAUCGUAAAACUCUGUUAUUGGAGAAGCGGUAUCUAAACAAAAAGCCACGGCUAACUACGUGCCAGCAGCCGCGGUAAUAC
rnacentral:rRNA from 1 species